UGCGAGUCUUUGUAGUAAUACAAGGCAUACGGCUCAGUAACGCGUAGUCAACCUACCCUAUGGACAAGAAUAAUCUCGGGAAACUGAGCAUAAUUCUUGAUAGAUCAUAAUGCCUGGAAUGGUUUAUGGUUAAAAUGAUUCGUCGCCAUAGGAUGGGACUGCGGCCUAUCAGCUUGUUGGUGAGGUAAUGGCCCACCAAGGCGAUUACAGGUACGGGCUCUGAGAGGAGAAGCCCGGAGAUGGGUACUGAGACAAGGACCCAGGCCCUAUGGGGCGCAGCAGGCGAGAAAACUUUGCAAUGUGCGAAAGCACGACAAGGUUAGUCCGAGUGAUUUCUGCUAAAGAGAUCUUUUGCUAGUUAUAAAACCACUAGUGAAUAAGGGGUGGGCAAGUUCUGGUGUCAGCCGCCGCGGUAAAACCAGCACCUCAAGUGGUCAGGAUGAUUAUUGGGCCUAAAGCAUCCGUAGCCGGCUCUGUAAGUUUUCGGUUAAAUCCAUACGCUCAACGUAUGGGCCGCCGAAAAUACUGCAGAGAUAGGGAGUGGGAGAGGUAGACGGUACUCGGUAGGAAGGGGUAAAAUCCUUUGAUCUAUCGAUGACCACCUGUGGCGAAGGCGGUCUUACCAG
rnacentral:rRNA from 1 species